rnacentral:lncRNA from 1 species
CUUGUGAAUCCGCGCUAGAACGAAUAUGCAUCCCAGCCGGGGGGGAGGGAGAGACGCCAUGGCGUUGUUUACAUCCCGGGGCCCAGUAGCAGGUCCCAGCCUCUUCCUUCUCGGGUGAUUUCUAGAGUAAAUAAUUGAGAGAAGACUACAAGUGUGUCCCAUCCCUGAAUUGGGAGUUCCCUGCUUUGUGCUUUUAAGUCAGGCCAACAGGUUGAGACACAAGCUGUUUUGGUCAGGACUUGAGGAUGUUGACCAGAGUCCGCUAAUAUCCUUCAAUAUUUAGUGUUACAGACACCUGCUCCAAGUGAUACGCCAUUACAGAAGUGUUCCGGUUCGGCCUCGUGCCCAUCGCUUGUCGUGCCCGGAAUGAGGACCGCAGCCAAGUGGCAUUGAGUCUCAACAACAAUGAAGUGAAUAUAUAUGGCAGAGCUGCAUCAGAGUGGAAGCUUCAGGAAACACUCCAGGGUCAUGAUCUGCGUGUCACAGGCAUUGACUGGGCUCCCAGCACCAAUCGCAUUGUUACAUGUGGAGCAGUGACCUUCCUGGAAAUUACCGAGACUUAGUGUGCUUU